rnacentral:lncRNA from 1 species
UUAAAUUACAAACAAAAGUGACGCAACCAUUUUAACCUUCUCUAGCGUAGAUCAUGUAGAUGGCUUACAUUUUCUUGAACCUAUCAACGUUUUAGCAUAUUGAAAAUCAAAUGAAGAAUGACAAACGAUUAAAUCAAAAAUGAAAUUUGUAUAUUAGCACCGUAAAUCUUACAACUAACAAUUUUACGCAUUUACUUUUAUCACAGUUGACUAGAUGGAUAUAUGAAUAUACUUUCAGAACACUCUAUAUUAUCACACUAGACACUAACUAAAGAUAAAACAAAAAAUUCGGAAAAAAUCUGUUUAAUAGAUACCUGAGAAUUUGUUUGAAAUACACGAAAACGAAUUCCGGCGAAAAUAAUUACAAUAACAGUAGAUAGUUUGUCAGUAAUUUGCAUAACACGUAACAAUUAAGAUACCUUCUUUUUGCAAUAUUUCAGAUUUUGUUGACAUUUAAGUUUGCAUGUUAUGAGAAAAGAAAGUAAAAACUAUUCGAUGACUGUGUCAUGUCCAGCCGCUAUUUGAAUGCAUAUUAUGACGAUAUCGUAGUUGAUUGAUGUGAAUACAU